rnacentral:rRNA from 1 species
CCUACGGGUGGCUGCAGUGGGGAAUAUUGGACAAUGGGGGGAACCCUGAUCCAGCCAUGCCGCGUGUGUGAAGAAGGCCCUCGGGUUGUAAAGCACUUUCAGUGAGGAAGAACGCCUGGUGGUUAAUACCCAUCAGGAAAGACAUCACUCACAGAAGAAGCACCGGCUAACUCCGUGCCAGCAGCCGCGGUAAUACGGAGGGUGCGAGCGUUAAUCGGAAUUACUGGGCGUAAAGCGCGCGUAGGUGGCUUGAUAAGCCGGUUGUGAAAGCCCCGGGCUCAACCUGGGAACGGCAUCCGGAACUGUCAAGCUAGAGUGCAGGAGAGGAAGGUAGAAUUCCCGGUGUAGCGGUGAAAUGCGUAGAGAUCGGGAGGAAUACCAGUGGCGAUGGCGGCCUUCUGGACUGACACUGACACUGAGGUGCGAAAGCGUGGGUAGCAAACAGGAUUAGAUACCCGGGUAGUC